rnacentral:rRNA from 1 species
AAUGAACGUUGGCGGCGUGGAUUAGGCAUGCAAGUCGAGCGAGAACCGUAGCAAUACGGGGACAGCGGCGAAAGGGAGAGUAACACGUGGGUACCUACCCUCGGAUUCGGGAUAGCUACGGGAAACUGUAGGUAAUACCGAAUAACGUCUCCGGACCAAAGGUGGGAUUCCGUCCGGGGAGGGGCCCGCGUCCUAUUAGCUAGUUGGUGAGGUAACGGCCCACCAAGGCGAAGAUGGGUAUGGGGUGUGAGAGCAUGCCCCCACUCACUGGGACUGAGACACUGCCCAGACACCUACGGGUGGCUGCAGUCGAGGAUCUUCGGCAAUGGGGGAAACCCUGACCGAGCGACGCCGCGUGCGGGAUGAAGGCCUUCGGGUUGUAAACCGCUGUCAGAGGGGAGGAAAUGCCGGGAAGUAAUUCAUAAUCGACCCGGUUUGACCUAUCCUCAGAGGAAGGACGGGCUAAGUUCGUGCCAGCAGCCGCAGUAACAC